AGAGUUUGAUCAUGGCUCAGAAUGAACGCUGGCGGCGUGCUUAACACAUGCAAGUCGCACGAGAACGCUUCAGCUUGCUGAGGUUAGUAAAGUGGCGCACGGGUGAGUAACGCGUGGGUAAUCUACCCCCGAAUUGGGGAUAACAUUGCGAAAGUGAUGCUAAUACCGAAUAAUAUCCUGAAAAUAUUUGUUUUCUGGAUCAAAGAUGGCCUCUACAUGUAAGCUAUUGUUUGGGGAUGAGCCCGCGUACCAUUAGCUUGUUGGUAGGGUAAUGGCCUACCAAGGCGACGAUGGUUAGCUGGUCUGAGAGGAUGAUCAGCCACACUGGAACUGACACACGGUCCAGACUCCUACGGGAGGCAGCAGUGAGGAAUUUUGCGCAAUGGGGGAAACCCUGACGCAGCAACGCCGCGUGAGUGAUGAAGGCUUUCGGGUCGUAAAGCUCUGUCAAGUGGGAAGAAACCAUAUGGUGUUAAUAUCACCUUAUGUUGACGGUACCACUGAAGGAAGCACCGGCUAACUCCGUGCCAGCAGCCGCGGUAAUACGGGGGGUGCGAGCGUUAUUCGGAAUUACUGGGCGUAAAGAGCGCGUAGGCGGUCUUUUAAGUCAGGUGUGAAAGCCCGGGGCUCAACCCCGGAAGUGCACUUGAAACUAUGAGACUUGAGUAUGGGAGAGGGAAGUGGAAUUCCUGGUGUAGC
rnacentral:rRNA from 1 species